rnacentral:tRNA from 1 species
GUAGCUCAGUGGUAUAACAUCUGUUUUGCAUGUAGAAGGUCCCUGGUUCAAUCCCUGGUACA